rnacentral:ncRNA from 1 species
AAAGAUAGAGGACGGAACGGGCAGCCGUCGCCUUUAUUGGAGAUGCGGGAGUGUCGCCCCGCCUAUUUUU